rnacentral:rRNA from 2 species
UGGGGAAUAUUGGGCAAUGGGCGCAAGCCUGACCCAGCAACGCCGCGUGAGGGAAGAAGGUCUUCGGAUUGUAAACCUCUGUCCUUGGGGACGAAAAAAAUGACGGUACCCAAGGAGGAAGCUCCGGCUAACUACGUGCCAGCAGCCGCGGUAAUACGUAGGGAGCGAGCGUUGUCCGGAAUUACUGGGCGUAAAGGGUGCGUAGGCGGCAUGGCAAGUCAGAUGUGAAAUUCCCGGGCUUAACUCGGGGGGUGCAUUUGAAACUGCUGAGCUUGAGUGCAGGAGAGGAAAGCGGAAUUCCUAGUGUAGCGGUGAAAUGCGUAGAUAUUAGGAGGAACACCAGUGGCGAAGGCGGCUUUCUGGACUGUGUCUGACACUGAGGCGCGAAAGCUAGGGGAGCGAACGGG